ACGUAGGCGGCAAGCGUUGUCCGGAAUUAUUGGGCGUAAAGGGAGCGCAGGCGGGAAACUAAGCGGAUCUUAAAAGUGCGGGGCUCAACCCCGUGAUGGGGUCCGAACUGGUUUUCUUGAGUGCAGGAGAGGAAAGCGGAAUUCCCAGUGUAGCGGUGAAAUGCGUAGAUAUUGGGAAGAACACCAGUGGCGAAGGCGGCUUUCUGGACUGUAACUGACGCUGAGGCACGAAAGCGUGGGGAGCAAACAGGAUUAGAUACCCUGGUAGUCCACGCUGUAAACGAUGAGUACUAGGUGUCGGAGGUUACCCCCUUCGGUGCCGCAGCUAACGCAUUAAGUACUCCGCCUGGGGAGUACGCACGCAAGUGUG
rnacentral:rRNA from 1 species